GCAGUUAUUCGAAUCCAUGUAACCACGGUCACUGUUACAUGUGCUUUUUUAGUUGUUGUUUUUUUCUAUUCAGUCCUGUGGUUGGUUCCUCCUUCAUAGGCUCCUGACAGUGGCACAACAUAACAGAAGCUUUGUUUUUAAUGGGGACUUCAAUCUGGGAGACCAAGAUGUCCAUCGGCUCUAUUGUUAGAAGUUAGCGGAUUGUGCAACCACAAGACCACAGGAAGCAGUUGCACCAUUUCAGUCUCAGAAAGCAAAAGCAACAACUAUAAGUCACAGGAUAGAAACAAUCAGCUGUAAAACACAGCAUUUUUGUCUAAUGGCACAUUUGCCAAGUGAACCCUGUUUUCGCACUAUAGCCAACAAUGUGUGGUCAAGGUUUUUAAAUGUCUGCAUUAGUACCCUUUUUAAAAGAAUGGCUUUCAACAACAGUACAACAUAUUCUGAGAUGUUUUGUUGGAGAUGUAUGAGUAAACCAAAUUACUUCAAAUAUUCAGUGUCUCCAUCACAAGACCUUCCUCUGUCUGACAAUCUGAUAAAGGUGUUUUUCCUGAAGCGUCACCGUGUCAAGUGUAACCCUAGGUCAAAAAAACACAUCUUCACUGAGAACCACGGUGGAGACACUAUUCCCGAGUUCUUAUACAAAUAAUCACUCUAACUGGUUUUCCAUUUCAUGCACUAAUUGCUCUCAGUGAAAUUCAGCACCCCUGAAUAUUUAAAGAACCCACACCACUUGUGGUGGAGGAUGUGUCACAUGGAAUGGGUCAGGUGAGAAAAGUGUAUGGUAAAACAGGAGUCAUGUCUGCAACAGGAUUUCUCUACCUUUGUGGAUGGCAAAUAUUGUGGCUAUGUAUAAGGAAGAAGAGUCAAAGUACUAUUUAAAUAUUUAUAUUAAUAUCCGAGCUCUUCGGUGGUGGCAAAUGCCUUCUACUCAUGUCCAAUCAGUCUGCUAUAACAGGUGCGCCUACCUUUGCCAUUACUUGCUGUAACAAAGACCACUAUGUAAAACACAUUUGCAUUUAUAAAAAAGCAUUUUCAGUAACCGGGAGUAGCUGUAGUUUCACUUUUCCAGUAAGCACUAGGUUAUGUAAUUCGUGUAAGCUGACGUUUAACUCUUCUAUGAGUCACUCACAUAUCCACAUUACCCACACACUGUAUUCACACAUGGAAACAUUUCUCUGUUGACAAAAUGACAAUGCUUUUAGCCCAGUUGAUAUAUCCAUAUGUCCAUCCCCAUAGUAUAGUUCUAAUGCGGCCCCCUGUCACUGUGGUAUAGGCAUUCAAAGUGUAGGGAACUGGACUAAUGUAACUCUGUAUCUGAAUAUGACUGCUGCUCAGGCGUGGAUAUGUUCCAGUGUACUGAUGAGUAAUGCUUGAACUCCAUCAAAUUGGGAAGUUCCAGACUGCACUCACAAGUUCUGAAGAAACCAUGCUGCUUUCCUUUACAGUUGUCAUUUGAGUCAUGCGCCUAAAUAACCUGCUGAUGGGAAUCGUACUUUCUGGAAGUUACGGUACUCAUGAUUAUGGGCCUCAAACCUUAUUCAUCAUUUCAAGGAGAAAAGCAUUAUGAAAGAUGCCACUGUUUCCAUGAAUGGGUUCUCAGAAACAGACCUCGACUGAAGCCAUGGCAAGGCAAAGAAGGAAUAAACUCAAUAUCCUGGAAAGGCAUUUGUUUCAA